AAGGCGUUCGCUUUGUCGAACGCUGGGUUGAGACGAGUUCCAGCUUUCAUGGAUUCGCUAUACUCAUAUCAGUGAGCUGACUAUGAAAGCUCUUCGAAAAGUUAUUUGCUUGUGGUUAUUGUUUUCAUGAUGUCAUCGGAUGUGAGUAUUUAAUCUCAAAGUUUUUUUGUUUUAUCCAUAUUAGAUUUUUAUCACGUUCGGAGAACAAGGGCCUUCUACCAAAGUCCAUUAGGCUCUUGUCUGAUAAUUACGGAAAGGUUUGAGCUUAGAAUGGUUUGAUAAUGGACGGGUGAAAUUCUACAUUGUUUAAUCUUCAGUUUGCCAUAUAUAAUGUAUUAGAGUAGUCUAGAGGCUGAGGCCUUACUCAAGAGGAAACGCUGGUUUGACGUCUACUCUUGAUCUUGAUAUUGUAUCAUUGUGACAUAGCUUCCUUUACAGUCUCUAUAAUCAAAAUAAUAAAAUAUUCCCAAUGCUCUUCAAUUCUU